rnacentral:rRNA from 1 species
GAUGAGCGCUGGCGGCGUGCCUAAUACAUGCAAGUCGAGCGAACAGACGAGGAGCUUGCUCCUCUGACGUUAGCGGCGGACGGGUGAGUAACACGUGGAUAACCUACCUAUAAGACUGGGAUAACUUCGGGAAACCGGAGCUAAUACCGGAUAAUAUAUUGAACCGCAUGGUUCAAUAGUGAAAGACGGUUUUGCUGUCACUUAUAGAUGGAUCCGCGCCGCAUUAGCUAGUUGGUAAGGUAACGGCUUACCAAGGCGACGAUGCGUAGCCGACCUGAGAGGGUGAUCGGCCACACUGGAACUGAGACACGGUCCAGACUCCUACGGGAGGCAGCAGUAGGGAAUCUUCCGCAAUGGGCGAAAGCCUGACGGAGCAACGCCGCGUGAGUGAUGAAGGUCUUCGGAUCGUAAAACUCUGUCAUUAGGGAAGAACAAAUGUGUAAGUAACUAUGCACGUCUUGACGGUACCUAAUCAGAAAGCCACGGCUAACUACGUG